UUAUGGCUCAGGAUGAACGCUAGCUACAGGCUUAACACAUGCAAGUCGAGGGGCAGCAUGAUCUAGCUGCUAGAAUGAUGGCGACCGGCGCACGGGUGAGUAACCGCGUAUCCAACCUUCCCUAUAGUAGAGGAUAGCCCGGCGAAAGUCGGAUUAAUACUCUAUGUUGUUCAAUGCGGACAUCUAAGUUGAACCAAAGGUUUACCGCUAUAGGAUGGGGAUGCGUCUGAUUAGAUGGUAGGCGGGGUAACGGCCCACCUAGUCGACGAUCAGUAGGGGUUCUGAGAGGAAGGUCCCCCACAUUGGAACUGAGACACGGUCCAAACUCCUACGGGAGGCAGCAGUGAGGAAUAUCGGUCAAUGGGCGAGAGCCUGAACCAGCCAAAGUAGCGUGCAGGAUGACGGCCCUAUGGGUUGUAAACUGCUUUUAUACGGGGAUAAGGUGAGGGACGUGUCCCUUUUUGUAGGUACCGUAUGAAUAAGGACCGGCUAAUUCCGUGCCAGCAGCCGC
rnacentral:rRNA from 1 species